rnacentral:lncRNA from 1 species
AAUUGUCAGGGGGUUCUUAAAGACGCAAAGUGCCACUCAGGGCUUUUUGCUCUGGUUUGGCACUGGAGAAGGGCAAUUCUUCAUCCAUCAGCUCCAGACUGCACUGCCUCAGGAACACGGCCCACUCACCAGGUUGGGCCCACUCGUGGCACUUCCAGAGGAGGAAGAAAGUGCAAUGGCACAAUUCCAGCGCAAAAGGAAGGAAGAGUGGGACAGACAGAACACCCUGUGCAGAUCCAGGCAUUCAGCUGGGACUGUGCAGAGUUUGGGUUCUUGCCAGUGGCAUGUGUGUCCCUGACUGCAAUCUCUUGGCCUGCACGAGAGUCUCACUCACCUGCAAAAGCAGAAAGCUCCGUCGCUGUGCUCGCAAGGGGCUCGUCUGAUGCAAAGCUGUCAGAGCCCUGUGAGGGGAGAGCGGGCCCAGCCGUGCCCGGGGCUGAGCCCCAGCAGAGCCCUGGCAGAGCCCAGAGCAGCCUCAGCAUCCGCAGAGCCCGGCUGCAAGGAGAGAAAGCAGAACCCGCCCGUCAGCUGAAGCCUCCUGUCCCCUUGUCCCAGCCGCCCGCAGUGCCCAGGCCGUGCUGGCCGUGCUCAGAGCUGGGCCCAAAGCUGCCCAGCAUUGCUGCCUUUGGGAGCAGAGCAGCAGGGCAGGACAUGUGCCCAGCCUGCAGCCAGCCAUGGCACAUCCACCUCCUCAGCAGCUGCCCAGAGCCCAAAAGCAGCUUGGCAGCCACUGCAGAAUUCCCUGCAGCCGCCCCAGCAAAGGGGGAACCUUUGGUGCCCGGCCAGGCCGUGCCAUGCCCAGCUCUGGCAGCAUCCCCCUGGCUCUGGACUCACCUGCACACUGGCCGUGGAGCGUGUCUUUGGAGAAGGUGCCAGAAUCAAAGGCCAUCAUCUUCAGCUGCCGCUGGCCAGCUCCAGGAAGAGGUUGUGGUCCUUGAGCUCGUCCUUGGUGGCUCCAGCAGCAGCAGCCCCACCUGCUACAGCUUCUCCAGGGGCUCCUUCUCCUUCCCUGGGGCCACACCAGGCUCUCAGGGUUCUGCCCAGGGCCCCAGCCAUCAAUGA